AUGAACGCUGGCGGCGUGCCUAAUACAUGCAAGUCGAGCGAACGGACGAGAAGCUUGCUUCUCUGAUGUUAGCGGCGGACGGGUGAGUAGCACGUGGAUAACCUACCUAUAAGACUGGGAUAACUUCGGGAAACCGGAGCUAAUACCGGAUAAUAUUUUGAACCGCAUGGUUCAAAAGUGAAAGACGGUCUUGCUGUCACCUAUAGAUGGAUCCGCGCUGCAUUAGCUAGUUGGUAAGGUAACGGCUUACCAAGGCAACGAUGCAUAGCCGACCUGAGAGGGUGAUCGGCCACACUGGAACUGAGACACGGUCCAGACUCCUACGGGAGGCAGCAGUAGGGAAUCUUCCGCAAUGGGCGAAAGCCUGACGGAGCAACGCCGCGUGAGUGAUGAAGGUCUUCGGAUCGUAAAACUCUGUUAUUAGGGAAGAACAUAUGUGUAAGUAACUGUGCACAUCUUGACGGUACCUAAUCAGAAAGCCACGGCUAACUACGUG
rnacentral:rRNA from 1 species